UUAAGUUCAGCGGGUAUCCCUACCUGAUCCGAGGUCAACCUGAAAAAAUUGGGGGUUGUUGGCUAGUAACCACUCGGGUCUCCAAAGCGAGAAGAAUUACUACGCUUGAAGCCGAAUGGCACCGCCACUGAUUUUAAGGCCUGCAGAAACCUGCAGUGCCCAAUACCAAGCAGAGCUUGAGGGUUGUAAUGACGCUCGAA
rnacentral:misc_RNA from 1 species